rnacentral:rRNA from 1 species
CGGCGGAUGGGUGAGUAACACAUGGGCAACCUGCCUGUAAGAUUGGGAUAACUCGCGGAAACGUGAGCUAAUACCAAAUAAUCCUUUACAUCUCCUGAUGUUUAGGUAAAAGGCGGCAUUUUGCUGUCACUUACAGAUGGGCCCGUGGCGCAUUAGCUAGUUGGUGGGAUAAAAGCCUACCAAGGCAACGAUGCGUAGCCGACCUGAGAGGGUGAUCGGCCACACUGGGACUGAGACACGGCCCAGACUCCUACGGGAGGCAGCAGUAGGGAAUCUUCCGCAAUGGACGCAAGUCUGACGGAGCAACGCCGCGUGAGUGACGAAGGUCUUCGGAUCGUAAAACUCUGUUGUUAGGGAAGAACAAGUAUCGUUCGAAUAGGGCGGUACCUUGACGGUACCUAACCAGAAAGCCCCGGCUAACUACGUGCCAGCAGCCGCGGUAAUACGUAGGGGGCAAGCGUUGUCCGGAAUUAUUGGGCGUAAA